GUACACUUCAGCAGCACAUUUACUAAAAUUGGAACAAUACAGAGAAGGUACACAUGGCUGUUGUGCAAGGAUUUCAUGCAAAUAUAUGAAGUGGUAGAGACCAUA